UAAGGAAUAUUGGUCAAUGGACGCAAGUCUGAACCAGCCAUGCCGCGUGGAGGAUGAAGGUCCUCUGGAUUGUAAACUUCUUUUAUCUGGGACGAAACACUUCUUUUCUAAGAGGCCUGACGGUACCAGAUGAAUAAGCACCGGCUAACUCCGUGCCAGCAGCCGCGGUAAUACGGAGGGUGCAAGCGUUAUCCGGAUUCACUGGGUUUAAAGGGUGCGUAGGUGGGUAUGUAAGUCAGUGGUGAAAUCCCCGAGCUUAACUUGGGAAAUGCCAUUGAUACUAUAUAUCUUGAAUACCGUAGAGGUAAGCGGAAUAUGUCAUGUAGCGGUGAAAUGCUUAGAUAUGACAUGGAACACCAAUUGCGAAGGCAGCUUACUAUGCGGUGAUUGACACUGAGGCACGAAAGCGUGGGUAGCAAACA
rnacentral:rRNA from 1 species